GAUGAACGCUAGCGGCAGGCCUAACACAUGCAAGUCGAGGGAGGAGCUUUCGGGCUUCGACCGGCGUACGGGUGCGUAACGCGUAUACAAUCUGCCUUUCACAUAGGGAUAGCCCGAAGAAAUUUGGAUUAAUACCUAAUGGUAUAUAGAUGUGGCAUCAUAUUUAUAUUAAAGCUGAGCCGGUGAAAGAUGAGUAUGCGUUCUAUUAGCUAGUUGGAGAGGUAACGGCUCCCCAAGGCGACGAUAGAUAGGGGUUCUGAGAGGGAUAUCCCCCACACUGGUACUGAGAUACGGACCAGACUCCUACGGGAGGCAGCAGUGAGGAAUAUUGGACAAUGGUCGGAAGACUGAUCCAGCCAUGCCGCGUGCAGGAAGACGGCCUUAUGGGUUGUAAACUGCUUUUGCAGGGGAAGAAUAAGGACUACGUGUAGUUUGAUGACG
rnacentral:rRNA from 1 species